rnacentral:rRNA from 1 species
UACGUAGGGCGCAAGCGUUGUCCGGAAUUAUUGGGCGUAAAGAGCUCGUAGGCGGUCUGUCGCGUCGGAUGUGAAAACCCGAGGCUCAACCUCGGGCCUGCAGUGGGUACGGGCAGACUAGAGUGCGGUAGGGGAGAUUGGAAUUCCUGGUGUAGCGGUGAAAUGCGCAGAUAUCAGGAGGAACACCGAUGGCGAAGGCAAUCCCCUGGGCCUGCACUGACGCUCAUGCACGAAAGCGUGGGGAGCAAACAG